UGUAGCGGUGAAAUGCAUAGAUAUUACAUAGAAUACCGAUUGCGAAGGCAGAUCACUAAUUAUAUACUGACGCUGAGGGACGAAAGCGUGGGGAGCGAACAGGAUUAGAUACCCUGGUAGUCCACGCCGUAAACGAUGGUCACUAGCUGUUUGGACAUUUGUCUGAGUGGCUAAGCGAAAGUGAUAAGUGACCCACCUGGGGAGUACGAUCGCAAGAUUGAAACUCAAAGGAAUUGACGGGGGCCCG
rnacentral:rRNA from 15 species